rnacentral:rRNA from 1 species
GACGAACCGUGCGAACGUUGUUCGGAUUCACUGGGCUUAAAGGGCGCGUAGGCGGCUUCUCAAGUCGGGGGUGAAAUCCUCACGCUCAACGAGAGAAUUGCCUCCGAUACUGGGGAGCUGGAGGGAGGUAGGGGUGCGCGGAACUUCCGGUGGAGCGGUGAAAUGCGUAGAUAUCGGAAGGAACGCCGGUGGCGAAAGCGGCGCACUGGACCUCCUCUGACGCUGAGGCGCGAAAGCCAGGGGAGCAAACGGG